AUUGAACGCUGGCGGCAUGCUUUACACAUGCAAGUCGAACGGUAACAGGCCUUCGGGUGCUGACGAGUGGCGAACGGGUGAGUAAUGCAUCGGAACGUGCCCAGAGGUGGGGGAUAACGCAGCGAAAGCUGUGCUAAUACCGCAUGUGAUCUGAGGAUGAAAGCGGGGGACCAGGCAGCAAUGUUUGGCCUCGCGCCUUUGGAGCGGCCGAUGUCAGAUUAGGUAGUUGGUGGGGUAAAGGCCUACCAAGCCGACGAUCUGUAGCUGGUCUGAGAGGACGACCAGCCACACUGGGACUGAGACACAGCCCAGACUCCUACGGGAGGCAGCAGUGGGGAAUUUUGGACAAUGGGCGCAAGCCUGAUCCAGCAAUGCCGCGUGCGGGAAGAAGGCCUUCGGGUUGUAAACCGCUUUUGUACGGAACGAAAAGGCUCUGGCUAAUACCUGGGGCUGAUGACGGUACCGUAAGAAUAAGCACCGGCUAACUACGUG
rnacentral:rRNA from 1 species